rnacentral:rRNA from 1 species
UACGUAGGAUGCGAGCGUUAUCCGGAAUUACUGGGCGUAAAGAGUGUCGUAGGCGGCUUUGUAAGUGUGUGGUGAAAGCCUUCGGCUCAACCGAAGAACUGCUGCGCAUACUGCAAGGCUUGAGGACGCUAGAGGAUGCUGGAAUUCUCGGUGGAGGGGUGAAAUCCGUUGAUAUCGAGAAGAACACCAAGGGCGAAGGCAAGCAUCUGGGGCGUAUCUGACGCUGAUGAACGAAAGCUAGGGGAGCGAA